rnacentral:rRNA from 1 species
CAGUAGCCGCGGGAAUACAGAGGGUGCGAGCGUUAAUCGGAUUUACUGGGCGUAAAGCGUGCGUAGGCGGCUUUUUAAGUCGGAUGUGAAAUCCCUGAGCUUAACUUAGGAAUUGCAUUCGAUACUGGGAAGCUAGAGUAUGGGAGAGGAUGGUAGAAUUCCAGGUGUAGCGGUGAAAUGCGUAGAGAUCUGGAGGAAUACCGAUGGCGAAGGCAGCCAUCUGGCCUAAUACUGACACUGAGGUGCGAAAGCGUGGGGAGCAAACAGGAUUAGAUACCCGCGUAGUCCCUGUCUCUUAUAC